ACGGGAGGCAGCAGUGGGGGAUAUUGCACAAUGGAGGAAACUCUGAUGCAGCAACGCCGCGUGAGGGAAGAAGGUCUUCGGAUUGUAAACCUUUGUUUUUGGUGAAGAUAAUGACGGUAGCCAAAGAGGAAGCCACGGCUAACUACGUGCCAGCAGCCGCGGUAAUACGUAGGUGGCAAGCGUUGUCCGGAAUUACUGGGUGUAAAGGGUGCGCAGGCGGGUCAGCAAGUUGGAUGUGAAAUACCGGGGCUUAACCCCGGAGCUGCAUCCAAAACUGUUGAUCUUGAGUGGAGUAGAGGUAAGCGGAAUUCCGAGUGUAGCGGUGAAAUGCGUAGAUAUUCGGAGGAACACCAGUGGCGAAGGCGGCUUACUGGGCUCUAACUGACGCUGAGGCACGAAAGCAUGGGUAGCAAACAGGAUUAGAUACCCUGGUA
rnacentral:rRNA from 1 species